GAGCGGGGAUUAUAUUGGUGCUUGCACUAAUAUAAUUCUAGCGGCGGACGGGUGAGUAACACGUGGAUAACCUGUCGACUACUGCGGAAUAACUAUGAGAAAUCAUAGCUAAUACCGCAUAAGCUCACACUUUGGCAUCAUCGAGUGAGAAAAGAUUUAUCGGUAGUUGAGGGGUCCGCGCCUGAUUAGCUAGUUGGUAGGGUAGAAGCCUACCAAGGCGACGAUCAGUAGCCGGCCUGAGAGGGUGAUCGGCCACAUUGGGACUGAGACACGGCCCAAACUCCUACGGGAGGCAGCAGUGGGGAAUAUUGCGCAAUGGGCGAAAGCCUGACGCAGCAACGCCGCGUGAGGGAAGAAGGGUUUCGGCUCGUAAACCUCUAUCGAUGGGGAAGAAGGCUCCGCAAGGAGAUUGACGGUACCCCAAGUAAGAAGCCCCGGCUAACUACGUGCCAGCAGCCGCGGUAAU
rnacentral:rRNA from 1 species